UACAGAGGGUGCAAGCGUUGUUCGGAAUUAUUGGGCGUAAAGGGCGCGUAGGCGGAUAGUUUAGUCAGAGGUGAAAGCCCAGGGCUCAACCUUGGAAUUGCCUUUGAUACUGGCUAUCUUGAGUUCGGGAGAGGUGAGUGGAAUGCCGAGUGUAGAGGUGAAAUUCGUAGAUAUUCGGCGGAACACCAGUGGCGAAGGCGACUCACUGGCCCGAUACUGACGCUGAGGCGCGAAAGCGUGGGGAGCAAACAGG
rnacentral:rRNA from 1 species